CCUACGGGGGGCUGCAGUGGGGAAUAUUGGACAGUGGGGGCAACCCUGAUCCAGCCAUGCCGCGUGUGUGAAGAAGGCCCUCGGGUUGUAAAGCACUUUCAGUGAGGAAGAACGCCUGGUGGUUAAUACCCAUCAGGAAAGACAUCACUCACAGAAGAAGCACCGGCUAACUCCGUGCCAUCAGCCGCGGUAAUACGGAGGGUGCGAGCGUUAAUCGGAAUUACUGGGCGUAAAGCGCGCGUAGGUGGCUUGAUAAGCCGGUUGUGAAAGCCCCGGGCUCAACCUGGGAACGGCAUCCGGAACUGUCAAGCUAGAGUGCAGGAGAGGAAGGUAGAAUUCCCGGUGUAGCGGUGAAAUGCGUAGAGAUCGGGAGGAAUACCAGUGGCGAAGGUGGCCUUCUGGACUGACACUGACACUGAGGUGCGAAAGCGUGGGUAGCAAACAGGAUUAGAUACCCUAGUAGUC
rnacentral:rRNA from 1 species